AUUGAACGCUGGCGGCAUGCCUUACGCAUGCAAGUCGAACGGUAACAGGUCUUCGGACGCUGACGAGUGGCGAACGGGUGAGUAAUACAUCGGAACGUGCCCAGUCGUGGGGGAUAACUACUCGAAAGAGUAGCUAAUACCGCAUACGAUCUGAGGAUGAAAGCGGGGGACCUUCGGGCCUCGCGCGAUUGGAGCGGCCGAUGGCAGAUUAGGUAGUUGGUGGGAUAAAAGCUUACCAAGCCGACGAGCUGUAGCUGGUCUGAGAGGACGACCAGCCACACUGGGACUGAGACACGGCCCAGACUACUACGGGAGGCAGCAGUGGGGAAUUUUGGACAAUGGGCGAAAGCCUGAUCCAGCAAUGCCGCGUGCAGGAUGAAGGCCUUCGGGUUGUAAACUGCUUUUGUACGGAACGAAAAAGCUUCUCCUAACACGAGAGGCCCAUGACGGUACCGUAAGAAUAAGCACCGGCUAACUACGUGCCAGCCGCCGCUGUAACAC
rnacentral:rRNA from 1 species